AUGUGCUUCUGUUAGGAUUACUUGAUUAUGGCAAAAAUCAUAAUCGUGAUUAUUUUUGGUCAAUAAUGAGAUCAAGAUUAUUUAACAUGAUUCCUCAUUGACUUUGGAAACAUCAUGCAAUUAGAAAGAACAUUUUGCACCCUACAUUUUAAAGUUAAAUGCAUCAAUUUGGUGCAUUUUGAGAGCAUAAUUAAGAGACUAGAUUUAUAAAGACCCACCGAACGGGGCGAAAGCUCACCGCUGUAAAGGAAAGGGGUGAACUGGAUUUAUGACAAGACAAAACGAAAGCGU